rnacentral:rRNA from 1 species
CCUACGGGGAGCAGCAGUCGAGAAUCAUUCACAAUGGGGGAAACCCUGAUGGUGCGACGCCGCGUGGGGGAAUGAAGGUCUUCGGAUUGUAAACCCCUGUCAUGUGGGAGCAAAUUAAAAAGAUCGUACCACACGAGGAAGAGACGGCUAACUCUGUGCCAGCAGCCGCGGUAAUACAGAGGUCUCAAGCGUUGUUCGGAAUCACUGGGCGUAAAGCGUGCGUAGGCUGUUUCGUAAGUCGUGUGUGAAAGGCGCGGGCUCAACCCGCGGACGGCACAUGAUACUGCGAGACUAGAGUAAUGGAGGGGGAACCGGAAUUCUCGGUGUAGCAGUGAAAUGCGUAGAUAUCGAGAGGAACACUCGUGGCGAAGGCGGGUUCCUGGACAUUAACUGACGCUGAGGCACGAAGGCCAGGGGAGCGAAAGGGAUUAGAUACCCGAGUAGUC